UCUGUGGCAGAUGGACAAUUGAAAGUGAAAUUCAAUUCAAACAAACGACUAGUCUUGCUGCGUGCUGCUACCCCCCUUGGUGGAUGAAUCAGCAACUUAUCAAAUUCCAUGGAAAUUGGCAUCCCGAAUGCCAGAGUUCGUCCGGAAAGUGAAAGCAGCUCCGGCUAGAGCAGUGGCAUGCUGAACACGGACCAAGUGAGUCACUUUGGGGGCUCUAUGGGAGCUGAAAAAUUUAUGCCACAACAAAUGCCGGCGCAGGAUAAUGUAUCCUUUUUCCAGGAAUCCGACGCUGAAUCAGGCCUCUCCCAAGGGACGAUUCAGGGCUGAGUCAAACACACAGAUACUCGCUUUUCAUUCAUAAAACGCGGGAAAAGCUUUUCUGCGAGGAUGAGUCACAGUCGCGCUACACUGGGAAAAAUUUGUGUUCGCUAGGCUGCUGGUGCUGCGCCAAGACUUUGCCUGCUGCCCCCACAAAGGCCGUUUAUUGUUUUGCUUUUGCAUUCAGCUACGUGACUCAGCACAGCUGCUUCAGAUCUUUUUCGUGACGCCACAUUCUCUCGCUAUCACUCUCCCGCUCCAGACUUAGAUCCCUCUCUCUUGAGACAGCUUAAAAGUUUGAUCUUUGUGUUUGUUUGUGCUUUGACAACAACCAACUCCCUCCCAAUCAAGCCCGAAAGCUUUUGUCGAGUUUUGCGGUAUUUUUAAUGGCGUGUGUGUGUCUACGGUAUUGAAAGUUUUGUUUUCUUUGCCGCCAGUCUUGAGUCUUUAAUUCGCUGCCGUCGUGAUCGGUUGUGCGUGUGUGGAUCUGUAGCGUUACUAACUCUGUGCUCGUUUUUGUGUCUUGUCUUCUUUCGUUGCCAUACAACGCUUUUGGUCGAAGAGAGUAUCGCGCGCGCGUGCUUAAAGCUCUCUCUCUAUCAGACUGUCUGUCUUGCGACAGUUAAAAUACCAGAAAAAAACCUGUGCCCAGAGUGUUGAACAAAUUGCUGUGACUGUGCCUGUUCCUGUGCCCGUGUGUGUGUGUGUG
rnacentral:sRNA from 1 species